rnacentral:rRNA from 1 species
AGCUUGCUCUCUGGGUGGCGAGUGGCGGACGGGUGAGGAAUACAUCGGAAUCUACUUUUUCGUGGGGGAUAACGUANGGAAACUUACGCUAAUACCGCAUACGACCUACGGGUGAAAGCAGGGGAUCUUCGGACCUUGCGCGAUUGAAUGAGCCGAUGUCGGAUUAGCUAGUUGGCGGGGUAAAGGCCCACCAAGGCGACGAUCCGUAGCUGGUCUGAGAGGACGAUCAGCCACACUGGAACUGAGACACGGUCCAGACUCCUACGGGAGGCAGCAGUGGGGAAUAUUGGACAAUGGGCGCAAGCCUGAUCCAGCCAUACCGCGUGGGUGAAGAAGGCCUUCGGGUUGUAAAGCCCUUUUGUUGGGAAAGAAAUCCAGCUGGCUAAUACCCGGUUGGGAUGACGGUACCCAAAGAAUAAGCACCGGCUAACUUCGUGCCAGCAGCCGCGGUAAUACGAAGGGUGCAAGCGUUACUCGGAAUUACUGGGCGUAAAGCGUGCGUAGGUGGUCGUUUAAGUCCGUUGUGAAAGCCCUGGGCUCAACCUGGGAACUGCAGUGGAUACUGGACGACUAGAGUGUGGUAGAGGGUAGCGGAAUUCCUGGUGUAGCAGUGAAAUGCGUAGAGAUCAGGAGGAACAUCCAUGGCGAAGGCAGCUACCUGGACCAACACUGACACUGAGGCACGAAAGCGUGGGGAGCAAACAGGAUUAGAUACCCUGGUAGUCCACGCCCUAAACGAUGCGAACUGGAUGUUGGGUGCAAUUUGGCACGCAGU